rnacentral:rRNA from 1 species
UACGUAGGGUGCAAGCGUUAAUCGGAAUUACUGGGCGUAAAGCGUGCGCAGGCGGUUGUACAAGACAGGUGUGAAAUCCCCGGGCUCAACCCGGGAACUGCGUCCGAUACUGGCAGGCUUGAAUUCGGGAGAGGGAUGCGGAAUUCCAGGUGUAGCGGUGAAAUGCGUAGAUAUCUGGAGGAACACCGGUGGCGAAGGCGGCAUCCUGGACCGAGAUUGACGCUGAGGCGCGAAAGCCAGGGGAGCAAACGGG